ACCAGCCAGGAGCCACCCAUCCUCCAGCACACUGAGCAGCAAGCUGGACACACGGCACACUGAUCCAAAUGGGUAAGGGGAUGGUGGCGAUGCUCAUUCUGGGUCUGCUACUUCUGGCGCUGCUCCUACCCGUGCAGGUUUCUUCAUUUGUUCCUUUAACCAGUAUGCCGGAAGCUACUGCAGCCGAAACCACAAAGCCCUCCAACAGUGCCCUACAGCCUACAGCCGGUCUCCUUGUGGUCUUGCUUGCCCUUCUACAUCUCUACCAUUAAGAGAGCAUGUCCUUUGCAACCUGAUCACACAAAUGAUGAAAAAGAAUAGAACUUUCUCAUUCAUCUUUGAAUAACGUCUCCUUGUUUACCCUGGUAUUCUAGAAUGUUACAAGAUGUUCACCUAAGAUUGAGACCUAGUGACUACAUUUCCUACGGGAACAAAUAAAUGGUUUUUCAUCUCCCGGAGAUACAUUACAAACAAAUAUGGUGCUAAAAGAACUCCUUACCUUUCUCUGACUACAAUUUAUUUGGACAUACUUUUGUAUUGAAGAGAGGUAUACAUACUGAAGCUACUUGCUGUACUAUAGGAGACUCUGUCCUGUAGGAUCAUGGACCAUCCUAGUAGGGAAAAGGAUGAAAGACAACGGACAACUAAACCCAUGGCACAAAGGAGUGCACACUGCUCUCGACCAUCUGGCUCCUCAUCGUCCUCUGGGGUUCUUAUGGUGGGACCCAACUUCAGGGUUGGCAAGAAGAUAGGAUGUGGGAACUUCGGAGAGCUCAGAUUAGGUAAAAAUCUCUACACCAAUGAAUAUGUAGCAAUCAAACUGGAGCUCCUUGGCCCUAGCUUGGAGGACUUGUUUGACCUCUGUGACCGAACAUUUACUUUGAAGACGGUGUUAAUGAUAGCCAUCCAGCUGCUUUCUCGAAUGGAAUACGUGCACUCAAAGAACCUCAUUUACCGAGAUGUCAAGCCAGAGAACUUCCUGAUUGGUCGACAAGGCAAUAAGAAAGAGCAUGUUAUACACAUUAUAGACUUUGGACUGGCCAAGGAAUACAUUGACCCCGAAACCAAAAAACACAUACCUUAUAGGGAACACAAAAGUUUAACUGGAACUGCAAGAUAUAUGUCUAUCAACACGCAUCUUGGCAAAGAGCAAAGCCGGAGAGAUGAUUUGGAAGCCCUAGGCCAUAUGUUCAUGUAUUUCCUUCGAGGCAGCCUCCCCUGGCAAGGACUCAAGGCUGACACAUUAAAAGAGAGAUAUCAAAAAAUUGGUGACACCAAAAGGAAUACUCCCAUUGAAGCUCUCUGUGAGAACUUUCCAGAGGAGAUGGCAACCUACCUUCGAUAUGUCAGGCGACUGGACUUCUUUGAAAAACCUGAUUAUGAGUAUUUACGGACCCUCUUCACAGACCUCUUUGAAAAGAAAGGCUACACCUUUGACUAUGCCUAUGAUUGGGUUGGGAGACCUAUUCCUACUCCAGUAGGGUCAGUUCACGUAGAUUCUGGUGCAUCUGCAAUAACUCGAGAAAGCCACACACAUAGGGAUCGGCCAUCACAACAGCAGCCUCUUCGAAAUCAGGUGGUUAGCUCAACCAAUGGAGAGCUGAAUGUUGAUGAUCCCACGGGAGCCCACUCCAAUGCACCAAUCACAGCUCAUGCCGAGGUGGAGGUAGUGGAGGAAGCUAA
rnacentral:lncRNA from 1 species